rnacentral:rRNA from 1 species
CAUGCAGGCGGUCAGGCGCGUUUUGUGUGACAGCGGAGGGCUUAACUCUCCGAGGAUACGAGAUACGGCGUGACUUGAGAGCGCGAGAGGGACACGGAAUUCCGGGUGGAGUGGUGAAAUGCGUAGAGAUCCGGAGGAACACCGAAGGCGAAGGCAGUGUCCUGGCGCGUAUCUGACGCUGAGGUGCGAAAGCCAGGGGAGCGAACGGGAUUAGAUACCCCGGUAGUCCUGGCCGUAAACGAUGACCACUAGGUGUAGGAGGUAUCGACCCCUUCUGUGCCGUAGUUAACACAAUAAGUGGUCCGCCUGGGGAGUACGGUCGCAAGAUUAAA